rnacentral:rRNA from 1 species
UACGGAAGGCAGCAGUGGGGAAUAUUGCACAAUGGGCGCAAGCCUGAUGCAGCCAUGCCGCGUGUAUGAAGAAGGCCUUCGGGUUGUAAAGUACUUUCAGUCGUGAGGAAGGUGUUAAGGUUAAUAACCUUAGCAAUUGACGUUAGCGACAGAAGAAGCACCGGCUAACUCCGUGCCAGCAGCCGCGGUAAUACGGAGGGUGCGAGCGUUAAUCGGAAUUACUGGGCGUUAAAGGGCACGCAGGCGGUUAAUUAAGUUGGAUGUGAAAUCCCCGGGCUUAACCUGGGAAUGGCAUUCAAGACUGGUUAGCUAGAGUCUUGUAGAGGGGGUAGAAUUCCAUGUGUAGCGGUGAAAUGCGUAGAGAUGUGGAGGAAUACCGGUGGCGAAGGCGGCCCCUGGCAAAGGACUGACGCUCAGUGUGCGAAAGCGUGGGGAGCAAACAGGGAUUAGAUACC